UCUUCCCUUUUACAGUUUCUUCCUUCCCCGAUUUCCUCUCUAUUUUCACGUGCGGUCCCUUAUUUUCUCCCCCAAAUCUCUUCUCCCCUCACUCAUUUUCUUUCAGUUAUUUCUCACCCUUUCCUGCUCUCAACUUCUUAGUAAUAUCGUGCAUCUCUCCCUCUCACGCCGCCCCACUUUCAGUGAUCUCUACGUGUUAUGAUUUUGGAGUUUUUCAUAUCUGUUUUCGUGCUCAAAUCCGCACACCGCCAAGCAUUUCAAAACGCAGUCACGUUGUCUCUCCCUUUAUCGCGUUGUUCUCUUCUCUUGGUAAAUUUUGGGUGGUUACGAGUGGUGUUAUAUUUUCCAGAUUUGGGGUUGCAGAGACCCUCACAUUUGUGGUUGUGACACUGCUAGACAAUUUCUAAACAUCGAUAAUACGCUACAAGAGUCAGGAAGUAGUUUGUCCUUUAUAUGAAGUGGAUGAAGAAUCUAUAGAACAUCUCUUUUGGGAAUGUCCUUCAGCCAAAGAUGUCUGGAGUAUGUGCAGUAAAGAUUCGGAAAUGCAGUAGUCUAGUUGGCCUAAGUUAUAUAUAUGGACAUUGUCAUACUUCUAUGUUGCGGUUUAGAUGCUGUAGAUUUUGAACAAAUUUUGAAGGAGUUUUGCAGCAGGACAGUUCACAAACAUUGUUAAGCCAAAUUGGGACAUAGCUUUGGAUAGAUAGCACAAGGAGAAAGAUCGAUCAUGGGAAUUGCAUUAUAAACAGAAAUAACAAAGGAGAUGUCUUAGCCUUUUUUUUUUUUUAUUAAAGAUGUCUUAGCUUCUUGGCUAAUACCAAAGCAUGGAAAUCCAACACUACAAGUUGCUGAAUGUUGUGGAUCUUUCUUGGCUGUAUCUUUCUGCAUGCUUGGAACUAAGAUUUGGAGAAACUAUUUUUGAAGGUAAAGCAAAAAAUGUAGUGGAAGCGAUAUAGAAAGAUGGUGAAGAUCAUAGUAGUUAAUGUGGGCAUAAUACAAGACUCUCGGUCUUUGCUAUCUGACAUACAACAAUAGAGGUUCAGACAUGUCAAAAGGGAUGUAAACCAUUUGGCACACCAUCUAGCAAACUCUGUUAUAAUAACUCUAGAAAUAUACAGUAUGUAAUCGAUCUCUUGUAUUUUCUAAUGCAAAUCAAUAAAAGUCAGUUUCUUUGUAAAAAAAGAAAAUAAGUCAGUUUCUUACAAA